rnacentral:lncRNA from 1 species
CCCUCAUUGCUGCCAUUUGAGUGCCAUAUCACCACCACAUCUGGUGGCCGGCAAGGUUUCGAAAGGGGCCCUUUUCUAGCCCCCGUUUGGAGCAUCCCUGAAAGCCAUGAAACCAAAACUCAAAGAUGCCGAAAGAGAGGAGAUUUUCAGCCCCUCUUGGACCCGAUUACAGCGACGGCGACGAAGAGGAGGGCUCCGACGACGUGGCUGUGGGGGUCUCCGGUAAGCUCUUUCCUUUUACUAUUUUUUAUUUAAAAUAGAUUUUUACAAACACAAAAAAAAUAAAAAUAAAAAUAAAAGAAGGAACUGGAAAUCGAAAGGCGACAAAAAGAAAAGAAAAAAAGAAAUCAAAUCAACCGUUGCCUUUGCUUCUAUUCUGCUUUUUUAUUGCUUAAUCUGUGUAAAAAAAUACAAAGAGAUCUGAAAACGUUCUUAUAGCCGAAAAUCAACCUUUUUGUUUCUGUUCUUUUGUUUUUUUGUUAUUUACUUCACCAUUGCUUUGUGUUAAUUUCCCUCUGCAGGUGUCAGAGGUGUGGAAGGCUGGUGGUUGGCUCGAGGGGAGGCCAAGGGUUCGGCAGCAGGCGUGGCUGCUGAAAAAAUAAAGGUAGUGGGCUAUUAGGGUUAGUUUAGGUAAUGGGCUAAUAGGGUUUUGAUUUGUUUUUGGUUUUAAUCUGUAAUGGGCCAUUUAUUUUGGACUUUUAAUUUGGGUUGUAUUAUUUUGUUGGCCAGGCCAAAAUUGGCUAUAACAGCUGCCCCUCUUUGCUCAUUCUCGUGUAAUGAGAAUGGAGUAAAAACCUUAAAAUAGCCAAUUUUGCCUUGUCUAACUGGAUCUUGGCUUCGUGGUGCUUUUUUUCUUCGAGUAACCUCACUUCAUCCCACUGCAUCUUCAGGGGUAUUGGAAUUAAUUCUAUGGUUUGCUCCAAUGUAAUUUCAGGGAGAGGAGACUUGUAGCUUCGAUCAACUCCGCUGGAACUUCAAAGGAUUAAGACUUGAUAAUUUCAACCUGCUCCACUGCAUCUUCAGGGAGAUGAGGUUCGCGACUUCAACCCG